rnacentral:rRNA from 1 species
GAUGAACGCUGGCGGCGUGCCUAAUACAUGCAAGUCGAGCGAACGGACGAGAAGCUUGCUUCUCUGAUGUUAGCGGCGGACGGGUGAGUAACACGUGGAUAACCUACCUAUAAGACUGGGAUAACUUCGGGAAACCGGAGCUAAUACCGGAUAAUAUUUUGAACCGCAUGGUUCAAAAGUGAAAGGCGGUCUUGCUGUCACUUAUAGAUGGAUCCGCGCUGCAUUAGCUAGUUGGUAAGGUAACGGCUUACCAAGGCAACGAUGCAUAGCCGACCUGGGAGGGGGAGCGGCAAGGGGGGAACGGAACAAGGGCCAAGGCACCUGCGGGGGGACAAGGAGGGGAUUGUUCCGAAAGGGGCGAAGACAAGAGGGGGCAACGGGGGGUGGGUGGUAAGGGUCUAGGUAGCGUAAAACUCUGUUAUGAGGGAAAAACAUAUGUGUAAGUAACUGACCACGGCGGGAGGGUACGAAAUCAGAAAGCCAGGCCUAGUUAGGGC